ensembl:lncRNA
CCCCCUUCCUCCUCCCUCGUUAGUUUUCUAACGAAAAAGUGCUGCUGAGAAUUCCCAGAAGGUCCCGGAUGUGAAGUCACCGCCGUGAGGUCACCGAGCCUGGUUCCAGGAAUCUGAAUAUUGUGGGGGAGGAAGGAAAGCGCCGAAAAACAGAGGAGCUGGGGAAGAGCUGGCCCUGGACACUGUGCUCCAGUUCCAUCGGAUGGCAUUCCUGUUGGCCCUACAGAAACCACCAUGAACACAUAUUCCUGAUUUUGAUCCAUGCACCAAGGUCUCCAGUCUCAGGCAAUUAAUUACAAGUGGUCUAAAUC